rnacentral:lncRNA from 1 species
GGGGAGCUCCCGGAACGCGGCGAUCGAAUCGAGGGGACGGCCAUGGCAGCGUCGAAUUGUACGCGGCAGUAAGCAGGGGGAAAGGAGCAGCGAGGAAUCGAGGCGGGAGGGACGGUUGUGGCUCACCUGCGGGCGGCGCGGCGGGGGAGGGGGAGGGGAGGAGGCGGCCGGCGGCGAGGUAUGGAGGGGAGUUGGGGGAAGGGGAAGGGGAAGGUGAAGCGGAGGGCGGAGGCACGGGUUCGGGAAGGCGAGGAGGGAGGGUGGUAGGCAGGACAAGGCGAAGGAGUCAACGAGGCUUGGCUUCGCU